UUGGGGAAGAUAAUGACGGUACCCAACGAAUAAGCAUCGGCUAACUCCGUGCCAGCAGCCGCGGUAAGACGGAGGAUGCAAGCGUUAUCCGGAAUUAUUGGGCGUAAAGCGUACGUAGGCUGUUUAAUAAGUCUGUUGUCAAAGCGCGAGGCUUAACCUUGUAAAGGCAAUGGAAACUGUAAGACUAGAGAGAGGUAGGGGCAGGAGGAAUUCCAGGUGUAGCGGUGAAAUGCGUAGAUAUCUG
rnacentral:rRNA from 1 species